rnacentral:rRNA from 1 species
CCUACGGGAGGCAGCAGUGAGGAAUAUUGGUCAAUGGGCGCGAGCCUGAACCAGCCAAGCCGCGUGAGUGAAGACGGUCCUAUGGAUUGAAAACCUCUUUUGCCGGGGAGCAAAAGACGCCACGCGUGGCGUUACGAGAGUCCCCGAACAAAAAGCAUCGCUCAACUCUGGGCCAGCAGCCGGGGUAAUACGGAGGCUUUGAGCGUUAUCGGGAUUAAUGGGGGUAAAAGGGUCGGCGGGGGGAAGAUCAGGUCAGAGGUAAAAAUGAGAGGUUAAACCUCUUCGAGCCGUUGAAACUGGUUUGCUUGAGUGAGCGAGAGGUAUGCGGAAUGCGUGGUGUAGCGGUGAAAUGCAUAGAUAUCACGCGGAACUCCGGUUGCGAAGGCAGCAUACCGGCGCUCAACUGACGCUCAUGCACGAAAGUGUGGGUAGCGAACAGGAUUAGAUACCCGUGUAGUC